rnacentral:rRNA from 1 species
GAUGAACGCUAGCUACAGGCUUAACACAUGCAAGUCGAGGGGUAACGAGAGGGAAGCUUGCCUUCCUUGUCGACGACCGGCGCACGGGUGAGUAACGCGUAUCCAACCUGCCCCCAACUAGGGAAUAACCUUGCGAAAGUAAGACUAAUACCCUAUAAUUUCCUCAGAUGUCAUCUGACGAGGAAUAAAGAUUUAUCGGUUGUGGAUGGGGAUGCGUCUGAUUAGCUUGUUGGCGGGGUAACGGCCCACCAAGGCAACGAUCAGUAGGGGUUCUGAGAGGAAGGUCCCCCACAUUGGAACUGAGACACGGUCCAAACUCCUACGGGAGGCAGCAGUGAGGAAUAUUGGUCAAUGGGCGGAAGCCUGAACCAGCCAAGUAGCGUGCAGGAUGGCGGCCCUAUGGGUUGUAAACUGCUUUUAUACAGGAAUAAAGUUAGCCACGUGUGGUUAUUUGUAGGUACUGUAUGAAUAAGGACCGGCUAAUUCCGUGCCAGCCGCCGCGGUAA